GAACCUUACCAGGCCUUGACAUGCAGAGAACUUUCCAGAGAUGGAUUGGUGCCUUCGGGAACUCUGACACAGGUGCUGCAUGGCUGUCGUCAGCUCGUGUCGUGAGAUGUUGGGUUAAGUCCCGUAACGAGCGCAACCCUUGUCCUUAGUUACCAGCACGUUAUGGUGGGCACUCUAAGGAGACUGCCGGUGCAAACCGGAGGAAGGCGGGGAUGACGUCAAAUCAGCACGGCCCUUACGUCCAGGGCUACACACGUGCUACAAUGGCCGAUACAGAGGGCAGCUACCUGGUGACAGGAUGCAAAUCUCCAAAGUCGGUCUCAGUUCGGAUCGGAGUCUGCAACCCGACUCCGUGAAGUUGGAUUCGCUAGUAAUCGUGAAUCAGAAUGUCACGGUGAAUACGUUCCCGGGCCUU
rnacentral:rRNA from 1 species